UAAAAAAAAAAUCAUGAAAAAUUAUUUAUAUAAAAAAUAACAUUUGAAAGUUAUUCAAAUUAGAUCAUAAAUAAUUUUAGCAAAUAAAUUCAUUUGAAAAUACAAAAUACUGAAAAAUGCAUGUAUUGCCGCAAAACAGAUUUCCUUUGUUUCUCGUAUUUCUCUCCUUCAGUUACUCUGAUCUCUUUGCCGACUUCUUAGCCUAGUUCGAGAUACGCUACAAUCGAAGGAACAAUCAGCAUUACGUCGCCUGUCAUUUUCAACAGGCUGUACACAUCAGAUUAAGGUCUAGUGGUGAUCAGAGGACGAUUAAUCUUUCUAAGAUAUUUAUAUGAUUCAAAUGAAUAGGAUGCAUUCACCUGAUUUCCAUCCAUUAAAAUAAAGCACUGGAACGCUAUAACUCAUCGACCAUAGUACAUGAUGUUCCGUAAUUAAUGGUCUCUCGAUGGGACAAGUGGCUUCGAAUGGAUCUUCUUUUUU